AGUGAACGCUGGCGGUAGGCCUAACACAUGCAAGUCGAACGGCAGCACAGUAAGAGCUUGCUCUUACGGGUGGCGAGUGGCGGACGGGUGAGGAAUACAUCGUGAUCUACUUUUUCGUGGGGGAUAACGUAGGGAAACUUACGCUAAUACCGCAUACGCCCUCCGGGUGAAAGCAGGGGAUCUUCGGACCUUGCGCGAUUGAAUGAGCCGAUGUCGGAUUAGCUGGUUGGCGGGGUAAAGGCCAACCAAGGCGACGAUCGGUAGCUGGUCUGAGGGGAUGAUGACGCACUGUGGAGCUGAGAGACGUCCCAGGCUCCGACGGGAGGCAGCAGUGGGGAAUGUUGGCAAAGGUGGGGAAGCCUGAACAAGCGGCGCCGCGUGGAUGAAGAAGGCCUGCGGGUUGGAAAGCCGUUUUCCGGGGAAAGAAAAGCAGCAGCUUAAUACCCCGCUGUUCGGACGGUACCCAUAGAAUAAGCACCGCCUACCUUCGU
rnacentral:rRNA from 1 species